rnacentral:rRNA from 1 species
AUGGCGUGCGCCUGAUUAGUAGUUGGCGGGGUAACGGCCCACCAAGCCUGCGAUCAGUAACUGGUGUGAGAGCACGACCAGUCACACGGGCACUGAGACACGGGCCCGACUCCUACGGGAGGCAGCAGUAAGGAAUAUUGGUCAAUGGACGAAAGUCUGAACCAGCCAUGCCGCGUGAAGGAUGAAGGCCCUCUGGGUUGUAAACUUCUUUUAUCUGGGACGAAAAAAGCUCAUUCUUGAGCACUUGACGGUACCAGAGGAAUAAGCACCGGCUAACUCCGUGCCAGCAGCCGCGGUAAUACGGAGGGUGCAAGCGUUAUCCGGAUUCACUGGGUUUAAAGGGUGCGUAGGUGGGUCUGUAAGUCAGUGGUGAAAUCUCCGAGCUUAACUCGGAAACUGCCAUUGUUACUAUAGGUCUUGAAUCAUCUGGAGGUAAGCGGAAUAUGUCAUGUAGCGGUGAAAUGCUUAGAUAUGACAUAGAACACCAAUUGCGAAGGCAGCUUACUACGGGUGUAUUGACACUGAGGCACGAAAGCGUGGGGAUCAAACAGGAUUAGAUACCCUGGUAGUCCACGCCCUAAACGAUGGAUACUCGACAUCAGCGAUACACUGUUGGUGUCUGAGCGAAAGCAUUAAGUAUCCCACC